rnacentral:rRNA from 1 species
AGAGAGAGACAUGCGCGCAUAUCAAUAAGCGGAGGAAAAGAAACUAACAAGGAUUCCCUUAGUAACGGCGAGUGAAGCGGGAAGAGCUCAAAUUUGAGAUCUUCAAGGUUUUACCUUGACGAAUUGUAGUUUAAAGAAGUGUUUUCUGCUGAAGUUUUGGUAAAAGUUCUUUGGAAUAGGACAUCAUAGAGGGUGAGAAUCCCGUAUUUGACCAUUAUUUUCAGCUUUGUGAUACACUUUCAAAGAGUCGGAUUGUUUGGGAAUGCAGUCCAAAAUGGGUGGUAAAUUUCAUCUAAAGCUAAAUAUUGGCGAGAGACCGAUAGCGAACAAGUACCGUGAGGGAAAGAUGAAAAGAACUUUGAAAAGAGAGUUAAACAGUACGUGAAAUUGUCAAAAGGGAAGCGUUUGACACCAGUGAUUGUUUUCUCGAAAAUCAAUUAAAAAUGGCUCGAUUUUGUAUUGCUGAGACCUUAAAAGCUCACUGUACAUUUUUCGUGUCUUUUUUAAUGCACUUUUCGUUUAACAAGUCAACAUCAGUUUCUUUUGUUGUAAAAGGGUCAUUGGAAGGUGGCUUUCUUUUCGGAGAAAGUGUUUAUAGCCUUUGGCCUCUGCAAUCGGAAGAGACUGAGGAUCUGCAGCGUAGACUCUUCGGGGUUAGAUACAUUUGUGCUAAGUUAUAGCUUUUAUAGACAACUUGUUGACUAUAAUUAGUCUUGUAGCUUACUCGCUUAUGCUAUUUUACCUACGCUUAGGAUGUUGAGUCGUAGAGCACGCAG